AUGCUCACUCUGGUAGCAAAUGUACUAAAAUCGGAGCGACACAGAGAAAGUUAGCAUGGCGCCUGUGCAAGGACGACACAAAUUCAUGAAGCAUUCCUUAUUUGA
ensembl:snRNA U6 U6 spliceosomal RNA